AACCGGCGAGGUCAUUUUUGAAACGUUUUGGCCUUAAUGAACUAAUAAACUCACUAGAUGGCAGAUACGAGUUCUGACUCAAUAAAAAAGGUUAGCGUACUUUGAAGCAGUGCUUCCACUUUUAGGGAAUUCUCCCUUUUUUAGGGAAAAAUAGCUGAUAUUUUGGAUGAUAAAGACAAUUUAAAAAAUACCAGGAUUUAGGAUAUUUCGGGGUAAAAAGCAAAGCCUAUACUAGUAACUGUUGUGAAUUUUAAAAUAAACGAUAAUUAAAGUAAAACAAUGAACAUUUUAUUUUAUGGAGAGAGAAUGACAUUAAGUCGAGUUGACAAGUAAAAGAAUAAAACAGAGUUGUGUAUAAAAACUAUAAAGAAGGUUUGAUUCAACAGUAACCCUCUAGUAAAGUAAAUCAUAGAUUAAGCCACUGCUUUUUUCUUAGGGAUUCCCCAGAAUCCCAAUAAGUAUAAUCCGCCGAACUUUUAUUUACCUAUUUUCGUUGAUGUCACCAGAACUUACUUGUAUUGUAAUAUACAGGUACUUCAUGUACCAUGAAAGAUUAUCAUGGUAAUUUCAUUUACGAAAACCUUGUAAUUUUCAUUUCACUUUUGCUAGCAGUUCCUUCUUCAAAGACUGAGGUGGAAAGAUUAUUCAGUGUUCUCAAAUGUAAAAACUGACAAAAGAAACAGGCUUUCUAAUGAAACCCUGAACGGCUUGCUUCAUAGAAAGUUCCCAACUUUGCCAGCAAACAAUUGCUCAAUUUUAGAACCGAACAGUGUUAGGUUGUGUGCAGCAAAAGAAUAUAAAAGCAAUGCGUCGACUUCCUUGAAAAUUCUAAUCCUAUAGAUCUAUGAUCUUCUGGGGGCGUUUAUAUUAUAUAUACCUACAUUAAAUAAUAUGCUGUGGUUUAUUUUCUGUAUUUUAUUUAUGCUUUCUAUGUAAAGGAUUUAUGAAAGUUGUCUAGGAAAUUUUAGGGAAAAUUCAAAAGAAACUAGGGUAAAAUGUGUUAAAAAAACGUAAGUGGAAACACUGCUUUGAAGUUUUCAAAAUUCCAGGGCCGUAAAACAAUCUCAAAAAAAAAAAAAAGUUUUCAAAAUGUCGUAACGAUUUAAUUUUUUAAAUCGUUUUUUUUUUGUCUUGGUAAAGUUUAUUAUUAAAAAUCAGCAUGCCUCGAAGAACGAAAAUGAAAUGCUAUUUCGGAUGCCUUGAUAACGACAAAGGUUUGAUAAUGACAAAAUUUUAUGGAAAAAUUAUAAGGAGCACUAAAAUGUCUGAAACAUGAAAAGAUUGAUGCACUAUAUUUGAACCAGAACGUGUUAUGUAAUAUAUUAAUUUAAGAGAAACUGAUUCAGCAAGGAACGUGAACUCUCAAGGGAUCUUAAUUUUUUUUAAAUAUGUUUAUAAUUUUUAAAUUAAUAAUUGAAAUAGUUCUUAAGAACUAAAUUGUUUGUUUUAAAAUAGGUUGUUUAGUUCUUAUAGUUAUAAUACGUCUUAUAGUUACGUUUGAAUAGUUGUAAUUAGUAAGUUAGUAAUAUAUGAAAAUACUGAUAUAAAUUUUUGUAAAUAACCUUUUGUAAAUUCUACGAGAAGAUGAUUUUAAUUAAUGGUCAAAAGUCAACGGUCUUCAAAAGCAUUAUUUGCAAUUAUUUAGAUUAACUGUGGAAUAUAUUUGCUAAGUUGUGUUUUCUGUAUGAGCAGAUAUAAAUGAAAAUGUCCAAACAUGAUUAUGUUUCUUACAUUUUCAUUAUGUGAAAUCAAUAUGCUUGUGACUGAGUAUAUUAAUAAUUUAUUAAAACUUCAGUGAUAGACAGCAACCCUUAUGGCACUGCUGAAGUUUAUAAGCACUGGUGACCACUUAUCAUGAGCCGGGUUGCGUGCUCGUCUGCUGUUGAGUGCAAUAAAAAUUUUCGAAACCAUUUCUAUUAUUUAGAUGUAAUAUUAAUGUACAUUUAAUUUGGAUUAAAAGAUAAAUUUACAUUUUAUGUUUGCAUGUGUAUGUUUAUAAUUCAUUUGCAUGUAACGAACAUCAGCUUCUUUUGUGACAAAAUGCAAACUAAUGGUUUGUAAUUAAUGUAAUUAACUUUAAGAUGAUUUUCUUUCAAUCUGCUGUUUGUCUCAUCUAGUAUUACCAAAGCUAAAGAAAGCAUCAGAAACGUCAGAAUAGAAAUAAUUUAGAUAGGGAAUAAAAGUAUAACUAAUGUAAUCAUGUCUAAAAUUACUAUAAGCGUCAUUAAGUACAAACUAUCAAUAUUUAAGAGUACUUUAAAUCAUCAUUACAUUUUUUAAACAUUUUUUGUUUUUCAAAUCAUGUAACAAAAAGGUUUGUGCAGAACAAAAUGUCACAUGUUAUGAACAUGAUUGUGGGUUAAUCGUUUCUUAAAUUUCUAAAUGUUUAUAAGAAUGCUAAGAUUAAUUUAGUAUUCAGUUUAGUGUGUGUAUUAUCUCUACAAUGCUAGUUUAAAUGACAAUUAUUGUAUGACGAAGCAUAGGUAGUGUUUAUAGAUGUAGUAUUUUCAUGUCAUGAUCUGUCACGAUCAACUUUAAGCAAGAACUGCUAUCGUUAAGAAACAAAUUUAUUAAAUUUAAUUCAAAUUGUCUACUAUGUUUGUAAUGGAAAGCUGACAUGUUUAUAUUUCGCACAAAUGACUUAAUUGACAUUGAAUGAUUUGAUUAUCUAGACUUAAUUAACUUUUAGAUAACUUUCGAUUUAAUGUGUACGCUAGUAGGAUUAAUCUAGAGGAGUUAUUGUUAUUCGAAAUUUUAUAAAAUUGUACGUUCAUACAAUCUUUUAACAGAAAAUUGUUUGUAAUAUAGGGAAAUUAAAUAGCUUACAGAGAAUUACAGCUUUUUAUUUUAAAAAACUGUUUUCUCUCUGUAUGAAAAGAUCUUAUCGAUUAGAAUGCUGAACACAAUCAAACAUUCCUUAAUAUCUCAUAAGUACUACCGGGAAUUUCAGCGAUUCUAAACGAUAAGAUUUUUUCAUAAAGAGAGUUAUUAAAAAUAUUAAAAUUACUAAAAAAG